GACGAACGCUGGCGGCGUGCCUAAUACAUGCAAGUCGAACGCAGUGGGGACGGGGGAGUAACACGUGGGUAAACUCCCCUCAGAGGGGAUAACACUUGGAAACAGGUGCUAAACCGGUACUGAUGGAUGGACGCGCGGUGCAGUAGCUAGUUGGUGAGGUAACGGCUCACCAAGGCCACGAAGCAUAGGCGCUCUGAGAGGGUGACCGGCCACACUGUGACUGAGACACGGCCCAGACUCCUACGGGAGGAAGCAGUAGGGAAUCUUCGGCAAUGGACGAAAGUCUGACCGAGCAACGCCGCGUGAUUGAAUAAGGUUUUCGGAUCGUAAAACACUGUUGUUAGAGAAGCGGUAUCUACCCAGAAAGCCCCGGCUAACUACGUGCCAGCAGCCGCGGUAAUAC
rnacentral:rRNA from 1 species